rnacentral:misc_RNA from 1 species
UGAGAGCUAAGACCAGCGACUUCUUAAAAGUCCUCAACAGAGCGCGCCCAGAGGUCAAGGACAAAGAGAAAAAGACAAUUAGUGGGAAAACAUUCCGACAGCAAUGAAAGAGUUGAGUGUUUAGAUCAUUUGAAAAGUCAUUCAAACCUGUAUCCAAAAUACGCUGGACACUGGAAAACUAAAGAAUUCCACAAGUGUGCAAAAGCUCUGUCUCAAAGGGUUAGCUUUUGAAGACAAACCUUAAAACCAAUUUUUUUUCUCUGACUAGAAUUCCUAGGGUUCACUUGCUUUUGAUUAAGAUAAUAUGUACAGUAUUUUAUACUCUCUUUGCAAUUCUUUAAACGAGGUUAAAUUAGCAAGGAGAGAUUUGUAUUGAAGGAACUAGUUUAAAUCAUGUACCAAUAUGCAAUACAUAUUCUGUAUGGAUAUAUUUUUGUCUGUAAAUGAUAUUAUCGAACUCUCUUGCAUGACAAGGUAAAAAAAAGUAGUGGGUGUGAAAAUCACCACCUUAAUGAUAUGUGUUAAUUUAAUUUGUUAAGAAGAAUCGAAGCAGUCUCGUUAUCUGUGAAAUGAUGCUAUUAUAUUCAAUAAGAUAUAUUGUAUAUGAACAAUUUUACAUCAGUUUGAUUGUAAUAAAAAAAAUCAUAUCC